AACGAACGCUGGCGGCAGGCCUAACACAUGCUAGUCGAGCGAGGACUUCGGUCCUAGCGGCGGACGGGUGAGUAGCGCGUGGGAACGUGCCCCUUGGUACGGAAUAGCCCCGGGAAACUGGGAGUAAUACCGUAUGAGCUCUACGGAGGAAAGAUUUAUCGCCAAGGGAUCGGCCCGCGUUGGAUUAGGUAGUUGGUGGGGUAAUGGCCUACCAAGCCGACGAUCCAUAGCUGGUUUGAGAGGAUGAUCAGCCACACUGGGACUGAGACACGGCCCAGACUCCUACGGGAGGCAGCAGUGGGGAAUCUUAGACAAUGGGCGCAAGCCUGAUCUAGCCAUGCCGCGUGAGCGAUGAAGGCCUUAGGGUUGUAAAGCUCUUUCAGCUGGGAAGAUAAUGACUGUACCAGCAGAAGAAGCCCCGGCUAACUCCGUGCCAGCAGCCGCCGUAA
rnacentral:rRNA from 1 species